rnacentral:lncRNA from 1 species
GGAAGAAGAUGGCGCUCACCAGGUGGGUUGUUGAUUUGGGUCCUCGAUACGGAAGGGUCUGGAGUACACAUCUUUUCCUUUCUGCCCGUACUGUUCGGGCUGUGACCUGGCCUGAGGCGCAGAAGUAACUUAGUCAAAACCGUGGCUGGAACCUCUCUCGGGCUUCCUCCGCGACUAGGCCGCGCCGAAGCCGGGGUCUUUCCUUCGGGGCUUCCCGGGUUGAGUUCGCCCCCCCCUGUUCCGAGAGCCCUGACAUGGCCUCGCCGCGAGGACCUCACAUGUGCUUCGCGUAAGCGGCGCGGUAGAUUGACGAGCGCCUUGUGGACUGCGGGCUGAGAUGGUUGCACUGCGAAGCCGCGGCUUAUUUAACCCCGCUAAGCAAAGCUCGCCCGUCUCGUGGGAGGCUUUCCAGCCGCUUGUAUGUUUUGUGCUUCUCAUUUUCUCCUGCUACUCUCUCUCUCCCGAAACAAAGAUUUUUG